ACGGAUAUCUCGGCUCUCGCAUCGAUGAAGAACGUAGCGAAAUGCGAUACCUGGUGUGAAUUGCAGAAUCCCGCGAACCAUCGAGUCUUUGAACGCAAGUUGCGCCCGAGGCCUUGUGGCUGAGGGCACGCCUGCCUGGGCGUCACGCCAAACACGCUCCCACC
rnacentral:rRNA from 1 species